UGGGAGCUUGACAGUUCUGGCUGUGGUUGCUGAGAUCAGAUUUGGAAAAACAAAUCACUAUAUGUUUCAACAUUAGGUGAUGAAUGAAUCAAUAAGCUAAUUAAAUGUAUCUUUCCUUCCUUAUUCUGCUAAUUGAGACUGGAGAAGAUUAUAAACAGGUCCACAUGACAAACCAGAGGUCGUCAUUUAAUUUGGAUACCGGCAUCACCUUUCCAAGAUAUAUGGGCCUGGGCCUUUUGAAACCCUCAUAAGAACUGUCUUGGGAUGCUGGUUGCCCUGGAAAGAGCAUGUCACUGUGGAAGAGGCAGCCUCCUUUGGCUGCAGGAAAUUCCUGAAGACGGACUGGGCUGUGAGUUGUCAGAUGAUUCCUCUCAAAGAACAAGGCUUGUCUCUAUACAAAUGGAAAUCUCAGGAAAACACUUUACACAGCUCUUCACAUUCUACAAGCUGUGAGAACUGAAAGCAGAGCCCUCAUCUGAAAACUGGGGAUUAAGAAGAAUAUUUAGAAGACAGCCAACAACUUUUCACUUCAUUUUCAAUGGACAGAUAAUGGACUUAAUGGCCCACAGUGUUACAGGAAUCUAAAAGAGAGAUGAUGAGAGAGCCUGAGCAAGUUCCAGUGGAGGCUGAAUGGGGGCAGAGGAAGAUCCAGAAAGGCUUGGAGGUAAGGUCAACAUCAAGGUGUUCAGCUUCAUGGGGACAUUUCGGAAGGAGACAGGAAAACUUCAGCUUUAAAAAAUGUGUGAUGCUUUGAAAUCUUCCAUUCUUUUCAUUUGAUAACAUCUGUAUUGGACAAUCAGCACCAUGCCUGACUUGCAGAUAAAACAACUGAAACUCUGAUGUCAAGUAGUUUAUCUAGUUCACACAGAAGAUGUAAAUCUAAAAACAAUAGCUUUCUUGACUAUUAUUCUGACACUCUUUUCCUACAAUAGCUUAAGUAAUUUUUAUGUAACCAAGAAAAAUCGUAGGAAAUAUUAGUUUUCCAUUUGAAAAUGUAUCUAUAUCUGUCUAUCUACAUCCACAUCUAUAUCUGUACCUAUAACUAUCAUCCAUCUAUUUAUCUUUAGCAUAAUCCUUAAGAAUAGGAGAAAUUAUGAUCUUAAAUUCUGCAAUAAAUUUCUUCAAAGUAACAGUUUUAUUAUUUUUAUAUAUUUUAUUCUCACAGUGGGACUUCUGAUUUCUUCUGUAUGAUUCCUUGCCCAGCCUAGACAACCAUGUUCAGAAGCUUCUGGAAUGUUCUGACAAAUAUUCCAUAUAUUCUACUUCCAGCAUUAACUCCUGCCACUCUAAACUAAAAUUACCUAAAGUAAUCCUUCCACUUCUCAUAGAGUUGUUGUCAAGCAACAAAGGACAGUUUAGACCCAGCCCACUAAACAUAACAUUUUAUUUCAAUUAUGUCCUUGUUAUGGUUUGGAAAUUCUUAUGGUCAUCAAUCAAUAUUCCUAAAGUAAUUUUAAACCUAGAAUGUAAAAUACAGUUUUUAAGCCAUUACAUUACUAUUGUAAUAAUAAUAAACUAGAAUUUGUUGAGUAUUUUCAAGUUGUCAAACAGUGUCAUAAAUGCUUUGCAUGCAUUAUCUCAUUUAACCCUCACCAUGGAUACAUUAUUAGUAUUAUUAUUAUUAUUGUACAACCAGAGCCGCAGAGGUUUAGAAAUAUUAAACAUAUAUGUCAAGGUCACAGAACUAUGAGCUGUCAA